rnacentral:rRNA from 1 species
UCGCGUCUGAUUAGCUAGUUGGUGGGGUAAAGGCCCGUACCAAGGCGACCGAUCCAGUAGCCGGUCUGAGAGGAUGAACGGCCACAUUGGAACUGAGACACGGUCCAAACUCCUACGGGAGGCAGCAGUGGGGAAUAUUGCACAAUGGGGGAAACCCUGAUGCAGCGACGCCGCGUGAGCGAAGAAGGCUUUCGAGUCGUAAAGCUCUGUCCUAUGAGAAGAUAAUGACGGUAUCAUAGGAGGAAGCCCUGGCUAAAUACGUGCCAGCAGCCGCGGUAAU